rnacentral:lncRNA from 1 species
AGGGUUGUUGCCCAGGAACAUCGCAGGCGCGUGUACUUGGGACGGAGAUGGGAUGGUGGCUGAGUUGGAGUGGUGAUAUGGCCGUGGUUGGUUGGAGUGGGGCCUGACCCAGAUGGUGCUUGGGCGGAGAGCACUGGAGGACCCUUUCCUCGCGCCACUGUCUCAUGAGGUCACCUGGCCCAAGGAUUACCUGGCAUUGUCAUCAGGGAAGGAAGGAAGGAUUCCACAGAUGGGAUGGCUUUCAGGAGCAGCGGGUGAUAGUGGUCGGGUGCAAUUUGGCGUAAACUGUUGCUGAUAUGAUCGGUCUCCAUUUAGUUCCAACGGUUCCUAACCGACUUAUGAGGCCAUGGCUAAGUGGCAUUUGAGCUUAAGCUUGGCCGCCCUGGAGAAUAUUUAUGGCGACGGGUUAUGGUUUUGCCACUUCCCCUCAGGCUGUCUUUGUAUAAACCUAUAAACGAUUCCUUCUUUACAGCAGUAACAUGGAUGUUUGCUGUAAUUUGCAAGGGUGUCUUUGGAGAGCAGCCCUGACAUCUGCCCUGACCUUGCGUCCCUUCGGAACUUCAGUCAACCAACGGGAGAAAACAUGCAAAGAAUCUAUUUCGAAAUUGUUUAGC